UGAGUAACCUGCCCCAAACUCUGGGAUAAGCACUGGAAACGGUGUCUAAUACCGGAUACGAGCUUCAGCCGCACGGCUAGGAGUUGGAAAGAAUUUCGGUUUGGGAUGGACUCGCGGCCUAUCAGCUAGUUGGUGAGGUAAUGGCUCACCAAGGCGACGACGGGUAGCCGGCCUGAGAGGGUGACCGGCCACACUGGGACUGAGACACGGCCCAGACUCCUACGGGAGGCAG
rnacentral:rRNA from 1 species